AUGCUCCACAUUCCCAUUCAUAGACAGUUGAUCAUACAAACGAUUACACAUGCUCCACAUUCCAUUCAGACAGUUGAUAGACAAACGAUCACAUGCUCCACAUUCCAUUCAGACACAGUUGAUCACACAAACGUUACACAUGCUCCACAUUCCCAUUCAGAGACAGUUGAUCAUACAAACGAUUACACAUGCCCACAUUCCAUUCAGACAGUGGAUACAAACGAUUACACAUGCUCCACAUUCCCAUUCAGACAGUGUGAUGAUACAAACGAUUACACAUGCUCACAUCCCAUUCAGACAGUUGAUGAACAAACAAUUACACAUGCUCCACAUUCCCAUUCAGACACAGUUGAUACAAACGAUUACACAGGCUCCACUUCCAUUCAGACGCAGUUGAUGAUACAAAUGAUAUACACAUGCUCCACAUUCCCAUUCAGACAGUUGAUGAUACAAACGAUUACACAUGCUCCACAUUCCCAUUCAGACAGUUGAUGAUACAAAUGAUUACACAUGCUCCACUUCCAUUCAGACAGUUGAUGAUACAAAUGAUUAACAUGCUCCCCAUUCCAUUCAGAGACAGUUGAUGAUACACAAUUACACACUCCACAUCCCAUUCAGACAGUUGAGAACAAAUGAUUACACAUGUCCCACAUUCCCAUUCAGACAGUUGAUGAUACAACAAUUACACAUGCUCCACAUUCCCAUUCAGACG
rnacentral:lncRNA from 1 species